rnacentral:rRNA from 1 species
AUGGAUCGGUCCCUGCGGGAGAAAGAGAAAAUGAGGGAGAGAGAAGGAAGGAGAGGAAGGAGAAAGAGAGAGGAAAGAGGAGAGGGAGGUGCAGCGUUGACCGACGGCUCGCGCGGUGGUGCUGCAGACGGCGGCCUCAGUGGGUGUGCGACGACACCAUGCAGCUCCUGUGCCGCGCAACCCUCUCCUCGCAGGCUCAACAGGAGGUUCCCGAGCCAGCUCGGGCCGCUGCUACCUCUUCCUCGCCGCCCAACAGAGUGCUUCAAGAUCGAUCCAAUGAUCCACUGCCGCUCUGUUGUUGGGGCUAAUUUGCACGGGAAUGGUGAUUUCAUGGUUGAUUAUGGUUACUUGGUUCUUGCUCUUGGAGUUACUGUGAAUACAUUCAACACUCCUGGUGUGAUGGAGCAUUGCCACUUUCUAAAGGUAGUGGAGGAUGCCCAACAGAUUCAGAAGAGCGUGAUAGACUGCUUUGAAAAGGCGUCACUUCCUGAAGAGGAGAAAAGGAAGAUCCUUCACUUUGUGAUUAUCGGUGGUGGACCUACUGGGGUUGAAUUUGCCGUGGAGUUGCAUGAUUUUCUUGUCGAAAAUCUGGUGAAGCUAUAUCCUGCAAUUGAAGAAAACUCUCAACUCCUACUUGCGCUCCGCCUCUUCCUCCUUUUCAUCGCUCAAUAG